rnacentral:rRNA from 1 species
UACGAAGGGGGCUAGCGUUGCUCGGAAUCACUGGGCGUAAAGCGCACGUAGGCGGAUCUUUAAGUCAGGGGUGAAAUCCUGGAGCUCAACUCCAGAACUGCCUUUGAUACUGGGGAUCUCGAGUCCGGAAGAGGUGAGUGGAACUCCGAGUGUAGAGGUGAAAUUCGUAGAUAUUCGGAAGAACACCAGUGGCGAAGGCGGCUCACUGGUCCGGUACUGGACGCUGAGGUGCGAAAGCGUGGGGAGCAAACAGGG